UUCCACCUCUUCCCAUUCCGAACAGAGAAGUUAAGCCUUGUCACGCCGAUGGUACUGCGUAACAGUGGGAGAGUAGGUAGUCGCCGUUU
rnacentral:rRNA from 1 species